AAGAACGUGGUGUAACUGGAUAACACAUCGGUCUACGAAACCGUUCGCGUAGCGCGGCGUAGCCGUAGAGUGAGAGUUCGAUUCUCUCCGUUCUUGCCA
rnacentral:tRNA from 1 species